rnacentral:rRNA from 1 species
GGCUCUGAGGAUUGGAUCAAGGGCCCAUUCAUGAAAGCUUAGCUGUCUUGGAACUGCGGAGGCAACGAAGUGGCUCCAGGAUAGCGAACGCUGGAAUGGGUGGGACGUCUUCAUCGGCUUUCCUUGAAUAAUUAACAAUUAACUCAGAACUGAAGCGGACAAGGGGAAUCCGACUGUUUAAUAAAAACAUAGCAUUGUGAUGGCCUGAAAAGGUGUUGACACAAUGUGAAUUCUGCCCAGUGCUUUGAAUGUCAAAGUGAAGAAAUUCAACCAAGCGCAGGUAAACGGCGGGAGUAACUAUGACUCUCUUAAGGUAGCCAAAUGCCUCGUCAUCUAAUUAGUGACGCGCAUGAAUGGAUCAAUGAGAUUCCCACUGUCCCUAUCUGCUACCUAGCGAACACACAGCCAAGGGAACAGGCUUGGAAUAAUCAGCGGG